GACGAACGCUGGCGGCGUGCUUAACACAUGCCAGUCGAACGGAAAGGCCCUGCUUUUGUGGGGUGCUCGAGUGGCGAACGGGUGAGUAACACGUGAGUAACCUGCCCUUGACUUUGGGAUAACUUCAGGAAACUGGGGCAAUACCGGAUAGGAGCUCCUGCUGCAUGGUGGGGGUUGGAAAGUUUCGGCGGUUGGGGAUGGACUCGCGGCUUAUCAGCUUGUUGGUGGGGUAGUGGCUUACCAAGGCUUUGACGGGUAGCCGGCCUGAGAGGGUGACCGGCCACAUUGGGACUGAGGUACGGCCCAGACUCCUACGGGAGGCAGCAGUGGGGAAUAUUGCACAAUGGGCGGAAGCCUGAUGCAGCAACGCCGCGUGCGGGAUGACGGCCUUCGGGUUGUAAACCGCUUUCGCCUGUGACGAAGCGUGAGUGACGGUAAUGGGUAAAGAAGCACCGGCUAACUACGUG
rnacentral:rRNA from 1 species